GAUGAAGAACGUAGUGAAAUGCGAUAAGUAAUGUGAAUUGCAGAAUUCAGUGAAUCAUCGAAUCUUUGAACGCACCUUGCACCCUUUGGCAUUCUGAAGGGUAUGCUCGUUUGAGUGUCAUUGUACUCUCACACUCCCGAUCUUUGCAUUGGGAGCAGUGGACUUGGGUUUGCUGCUUCACCGUCGCUUACCUCAAAUAGGUUAGUGCAACUCUUGGUUGGACAUAGUACGGCGUGAUAAGUGUUCUUCGCCGGUGCCUCGCAAAGAGGGUGGCCGAUCGGGAUGUUGUGCUCCAAACCGUCUUCGGACAAUCUCUGACGACUUGACCUCAAAUCGAGUAAGACUACCCGCUGAACUUAAGCAUAUUCAAUAAGCGGAGGA
rnacentral:misc_RNA from 1 species